CCCCUGAAUAGCAAAGAGGGGAUACUCUCGUCAGAAUGGCGAGGGCCGGAGUGGGUCAGCUUCGGAAAAUCAUUAACAAGGAUGCAGAGACCACAUCCUACAAGC
ncrna:unclassified sequences engA RNA